rnacentral:tRNA from 1 species
ACUUUUAAAGGAUAGCAGUAAUCCAUUGGUUUUAGGUACCAAAAAUCUAGGUGCAACCCCAAGUAAAAGUA